UGAGAUGUAGCUCAAUGGUAGAGCUGUCGCUUCAAAAGCGAGAGGUCCAGGGUGCGAUUUCAGACGGCAUCCCAA